CUGUGACUUCCAAACUAGGUCAUAUAAGGUAAUAUGACUUCAUCCUGGCCCUUCUCUCUUGGGACGCUCACCAUGGAACCUAGCUGAGAGGAAGCCCAGGCAACGUGGUGAUGCCACACAUGGGUAUUCUGCUCAACAGCCCCAGCUAAGGUCCCAGCCAACAGCCAGCUUUGACUACCAGACAUGUGAAUGAAUGAACCUUCAGAUAACUCCAGCCCCACCUUUGAGUCUUUCAGCUGAGCCUCAGACACUAUGAAGCAGACUAGCUGUCCUCAAAAUGCCGUGUGCGAAUUCCUGACCUACAGGAACCAUGAAAAUAGUAUAGCCAAAUAUUUGUCCAAAGCAGUUGAGCCAGCAACGUAAGAGAGUUCCAAUUGCUUCCUGUCUUCACCAGCGUUUGGGAAACAUUCUGAACAGUGACUGGAUCAUCCAAUACGCGUUUGUGGAAAGCAGAAUGGCGGAGAGGGACGUGGAAGGAUAGAGAAAGAGACGCAGGAGGGGAAGAAGAAUGCAGCAGCUGUGAUGCAAUUCCAGUCCCAGGCCUUAAGAAGAUCUGGCAGCUUCUGCUUUUGCUCCCUGGGGGAAGCCAGCCCGCUGUGAGCAGUCCAACUAUCCUGAGAGAUCACCUGGAGAGGCCAAGCAGAGGAGAACUGAGGAACCCAGCCAACACCAAGGACUGAAGCCUAGAUAUAUGACCCCACUUGAAUUGUUCCAACCAGACCUCAGCUUUUUGAGCCAUUCCAGCUGAGGCCCCAGACAUCACAGAACAGAGAUGAGCUAUUCCCACCAUGCUCUGAUCAAGUUACUGACCCACAAAGCCAUGUUCCAAUGAAAUGCUGUUUUAAGCCACUAAGUUGUGGGAUAGUUUGUUGCACAGCAAAAGAUACCUGAAACAGGAGAUAUUCACCACGAAAAUGACAAUUCCUUUCAUCAUUCUCAGUUUUUAUUCUCCUUAAAAUAUGCCUGUGGGAAGAAAACAACUCUUAAUACAAGUUCCCUAGGAUGUUAUUCUUGUCUGCAUGGUCAUAGGCUGGUCCUUGCCACCUCCACAUUCAAGCACCUGAGAAAGGGUAAAAGCACAAGUGUGUGACAAGGGGCUCAUCGUCAGUUGGAGAUAACCAGAAAGCCGCUCAUUUCACUCACUUCUGCCUGCUGCCCAUUGGCCCUAUGUGAGAGGCUGGAACAUGCUGCUUCUUGUUAGGCAGCCCUGGACCAGGAAGAUGGAGAAGAGAUUUGAGAUGAAAGCA
rnacentral:lncRNA from 1 species